rnacentral:tRNA from 1 species
UUUAGAGUGGCAGACAAAGUGCAUUAAAUUUAAAAUUUAAAAAUAAGUAACUUUCUCUAAAG